UACGUAGGGUGCGAGCGUUGUCCGGAAUUAUUGGGCGUAAAGAGCUCGUAGGCGGUCUGUCGCGUCGGCUGUGAAAACCCGGAGCUCAACUCCGGGCCUGCAGUCGAUACGGGCAGACUGGAGUUCGGCAGGGGAGACUGGAAUUCCUGGUGUAGCGGCGAAAUGCGCAGAUAUCAGGAGGAACACCGGUGGCGAAGGCGGGUCUCUGGGCCGAUACUGACGCUGAGGAGCGAAAGCGUGGGGAGCGAACAGG
rnacentral:rRNA from 1 species